rnacentral:lncRNA from 1 species
AAAGCGAGAAACGGAGCUCGAGCCUUGGGGGGCUCCUAGCAACGGGCCGGGGCGGGAGUUCCAUGGAGACUGGGGAGCGAACCCGUUUCAUCUUCAUCCUUGUCCUCCAGCUUCUUCUCCGCGUCCGACGCAACCAGCAGCAGCGCUGCCGCCGCGUCCUUUACGACCGCCCCGUCUUCCCACGACAGAAGACAAGUUGUUGGAGUUCUUUUCAUCUAUCGUGAUGUGAUCUUCGUGGUGGGAAACCAAGUUUCUAAACUACCCCAAUGGAUGCAGACAGUGAUGUUGCAUUGGACAUUUUAAUUACAAAUGUAGUCUGUGUUUUUAGAACAAGAUGCCAUUUGAACUUAAGGAAGAUUGCUUUGGAGGGAGCAAAUGUAAUUUAUAAGCGUGAUGUUGGGAAAGUAUUAAUGAAGCUUAGAAAACCUAGAAUUACAGCUACAAUUUGGUCCUCAGGAAAAAUUAUUUGCACUGGAGCAACGAGUGAAGAAGAAGCUAAAUUUGGUGCCAGACGUUUAGCCCGUAGUCUGCAGAAACUAGGUUUUCAGAAUUCACAAAGAACAACAGACCUCAUGCCAGGGCCCAAUGUAAAGGCUGUGGCCACAGCCGUGGAGCAGAUCUACCCAUUCGUGUUUGAAAGCAGGAAGGAGAUUUUGUAACUCAGACUUCGUUGGUUAGAGUCUCUAACUGAGCACCAUUUGAAACCUGCUGCACAUUGGACUCGAAACACAAGGAAAACUGGACCAACAGUGACUGAGGACAGAGACUCGUACUCACGGCUACAGUGUAAGCUCCAGUCUCUUUGGAUUUUACUUCAACCUUUGCUGUAAUAUAAAAAGGAAGUUUACAAGACAUGACAUUGCUGCUUUUACAAAAGGACGUUCUAUUUAUUUUCGCAGUGAUCUCAUGUCCCCACAGGCAGAGCUGUCGCAGUGUGCACUACCUUACAGUUGUUUUAUUGAUGUCAUUAUUUUUCCAGUUGGAGCUAAUGUGUUUGAUUUGUGAAUAGUCUUUUACAUUUUUGUAUGCUGAAUAUAGGCACCA